rnacentral:tRNA from 1 species
UGAGUUGUAGCUCAGUGGUAGAGCGCAUGCCUGGCAUGUAUGAGAGGCUGGAUUCAAUCCUCAGCACCAUAU